rnacentral:rRNA from 1 species
AACGAACGCUGGCGGCAGGCUUAACACAUGCAAGUCGAACGCCCCGCCAGGGGAGUGGCAGACGGGUGAGUAACGCGUGGGAACAUACCCUUUUCUACGGAAUAGCCCUGGGAAACUGGAAUUAAUACCGUAUACGCCCUACGGGGGAAAGAUUUAUCGGGGAAGGAUUGGCCCGCGUUGGAUUAGCUAGUUGGUGGGGUAAAGGCCUACCAAGGCGACGAUCCAUAGCUGGUCUGAGAGGAUGAUCAGCCACAUUGGGACUGAGACACGGCCCAAACUCCUACGGGAGGCCGCAGUGGGGAAUAUUGGACAAAGGGCGAAAGCCUGAUCCAGCCAUGCCGCGUGUGUGAAGAAGGUCUUCGGAUUGUAAAGCACUUUAAGUUGGGAGGAAGGGCAGUAAGUUAAUACCUUGCUGUUUUGACGUUACCAACAGAAUAAGCACCGGCUAACUUCGUG